AAUUCUCUUACAGUGAGAUGCUGUAGGAUGAAACUCAUUAUGUUUUAUAGGAGCAAACUGUUAGCAUUGUGACAAGCCUCAGCCCUACCAACUGCCUACAGCUCCCACCCUCUGCUGAGGGUGCAAAGAUGUCGCUGUCGGGUUGGCUCUGAAACAUCAAGAUAAGGAAGGCAAAGAAAUGAUGGGGAACAGGAGGACCACAGGGGCUAGAUCUGCCCCUUCUCUCUCAAACAUCCCACAGCCCAAAUACCUGUCAAAGCCCCUUCCAGUGGGAAUCUUUCCUUCCCCAAUACCACCUUCUAGCAAGUUCAAUAACCUCAUAUUUACAUCCUUGAUAAAACUCUUUUAAAGUCUGUUGACAGUUUCCUUUGGUUCAGACAAAUGGCCCCCAGUUUUUUCUCUUCUCAUUUUACAGUGCUGAACUGUCACUCAGAGGGAAGAUAGCCAAGUCCAUUUCCACCUAUUGGUCAGAUUCUCUCUCAAAAAUAAUUAACUUAGAUCAUUUGUGGAAUGAAUCUGCAUUUUAAAAAAUUAAGAGAUACCAAAUGACAUUUGCAUAGUGCUUUACAAAAUGCUGUAACUUUUAUAUUUUAUUUGGUUUCCCUGAUCAUUCUUGGAAUUCCCCCCAGUUCUACAGAAGAACAGUAAAUGUCAUGAAUCAAGACCUGAGCUC
rnacentral:lncRNA from 10 species